rnacentral:rRNA from 1 species
UCUUAAAAUCAUUGAAUCAAUGGUUCUUGAGAUAACGUAAGGGAAAAAAAUGAUAGUACCUUACUAUAAGUGUUGUCCAACAUUACUGGUGCCAGAAGACUCGGUAACGCCAGAAACGCAAACGUUAGUCGUCCUAAUCAGGCGUAAAGGGUAAGUAGGCUGCUUUGAAAGUUGUUAAAUAGAAAGCUCUUUAAAAUUUUUUUAAAGUAAAUAAUAAUGAAUUAAAGCUAGAAUCAAAUAGGGGAUAAGCCAAAUAAUAUUUAGUGUAAGGCUAAUAUCUUUAGAUACUAAAUGGAAUACUAAGGUGAAAACUUUUAUCUACUAAUGAUUGACGCUGAGGAACGAAGGUGAGAAUAGAAAACAGGAUUA